ACAUGUCCCCAAUCACAUCCCUGCCUGAGUCUGAGGCAUAAGGUCGCUUUAAGAGCUAUCUCAGUUCCUAUCAGUGCUCCUGGCAGGACACCUCCUACCUUCUCCUCGACCAAAAACUCUUGUUGUGUCUCACCUGAUGCAAAGCAGCGCUGGAAGCCUGAGGGGAAACAACAUCUCGGAGAGCAGCGAGCACACUCUGUGGUACACUGGAGGACAGAGGAGUCUCCUCCACCUGUCCGGAGCCGAGAGAGUCCGCGUCAGACACGCAGCUGCAGACAGACAGUGGAUCCAGGACAGCUGAAGACAGACAGUGGAUCCAGCUGACAGCUGAAGACAGACAGUGGAUCCAGGACAGCUGAAGAGACCCAGGGCAGCAAGUAAAUUUUGUUGUAAAGACUGCCGAAGAUUGAGGAUGAGGCAAAGCUGUAAAAAAAUGCAAAUGUUAUUCAUGAAGUAAUUACAGCAGGUGUGACACAACAAAUUAGUUCCAUUA